GUCCAGCCUUCGCGGGUGUCGAAGCCGAGAAUCUGGCCACGCCGCCCGGACAGGAUGGAGUUGAUCUUCGCGGUGGCGUCGGUCGGACAGACGAUCUCGACCACAUGGAUCGGCUCCAGCAACACCGGUGCGCAUUGCGGCAACGCUUCGGUGACACCGAUACGCGCCGCCGUGCGGAACGCCUGAUCGGACGAGUCGACGCUGUGAUACGAGCCGUCGGUCAGCGUCACUUCGAGAUCGAUCACCGGGAAGCCAAGCGGCCCGCGCAUCAUGCCGUCGCCGACGCCUUCUUCCA
rnacentral:misc_RNA from 1 species